GGCUAAAACUCAAAGGAAUUGACGGGGGCCCGCUCAAGCGGCGGAGCAUGUGGCUUAAUUCGACGCAACGCGAAGAACCUUACCAAGGCUUGACAUACACCGGAAAGCAUUAGAGAUAGUGCCCCCCUUGUGGUCGGUGUACAGGUGGUGCAUGGCUGUCGUCAGCUCGUGUCGUGAGAUGUUGGGUUAAGUCCCGCAACGAGCGCAACCCUUGUCCCGUGUUGCCAGCAGGCCCUUGUGGUGCUGGGGACUCACGGGAGACCGCCGGGGUCAACUCGGAGGAAGGUGGGGACGACGUCAAGUCAUCAUGCCCCUUAUGUCUUGGGCUGCACACGUGCUACAAUGGCCGGUACAAAGAGCUGCGAUACCGUGAGGUGGAGCGAAUCUCAAAAAGCCGGUCUCAGUUCGGAUUGGGGUCUGCAACUCGACCCCAUGAAGUCGGAGUCGCUAGUAAUCGCAGAUCAGCAUUGCUGCGGUGAAUACGUUCCCGGGCCUUGUACACACCGCCCGUCACGUCACGAAAGUCGGUAACACCCGAAGCCGGUGGCCCAACCCCUUGUGGGAGGGAGCUGUCGAA
rnacentral:rRNA from 1 species